CCUGGCGGCCUUAGCGCGGUGGUCCCACCUGACCCCAUGCCGAACUCAGAAGUGAAACGCCGUAGCGCCGAUGGUAGUAUGGGGUCUCCCCAUGCGAGAGUAGGGAACUGCCAGGC
rnacentral:rRNA from 1 species